CGUUAGCGGCGGACGGGUGAGUAACACUUGGGUGACCUACCUAUAAGACUGGGAUAACUCCGGGAAACCGGGGCUAAUACCGGAUAAUACAUGAAACCGCAUGGUUUCAUGAUGAAAGACGGUUUUGCUGUCACUUAUAGAUGGACCCGCGGCGUAUUAGCUAGUUGGUAAGGUAACGGCUUACCAAGGCAACGAUACGUAGCCGACCUGAGAGGGUGAUCGGCCACACUGGAACUGAGACACGGUCCAGACUCCUACGGGAGGCAGCAGCA
rnacentral:rRNA from 1 species